GAGAGGAGGGGUAGUUCUGUUCUCUUGGGCCUGAGAGGAGGGGUAGUUCUGUUCUUCUCAUGGACCUGAGAGGAGGGGUAGUUCUUUUCUCAUGGACCUGAGAGGAGGGGUAGUUCUGUUCUUCUCAUGGACCUGAGAGGAGGAGGGGUGGUUCUGUUCUCUUGGACCUGAGAGGAGGGGUAGUUCUGUUCUUCUCAUGGACCUGAGAGGAGGGGGGGAGUUCUGUUAUUCUCAUGGACCUGAGAGGGGGGUAGUUCUGUUCUCUUGGACCUGAGAGGAGGGGUAGUUCUGUUCUUCUCAUGGACCUAAGAGGAGGGGUAGUUCUGUUCUCAUGGACCUGAGAGGAGGGGUAGUUCUGUUCUCAUGGACCUGAGAGGAGGGGUAGUUCUGUUCUCAUGGACCUGAGAGGAGGGG
rnacentral:lncRNA from 1 species